UACGAAGGGGGCUAGCGUUGCUCGGAAUCACUGGGCGUAAAGGGUGCGUAGGCGGGCCUUUAAGUCCGGGGUGAAAUCCUGGAGCUCAACUCCAGAACUGCCUUUGAUACUGAAGAUCUUGAGUUCGGGAGAGGUGAGUGGAACUGCGAGUGUAGAGGUGAAAUUCGUAGAUAUUCGCAAGAACACCAGUGGCGAAGGCGGCUCACUGGCCCGAUACUGACGCUGAGGCACGAAAGCGUGGGGAGCAAACAGG
rnacentral:rRNA from 1 species